GCAUAUAUAGCUUACCCCCAAAGCAUGGCGCUGAAAACGCCAAGACAGACCCUAAAAAGUCUUAUAAGCA
rnacentral:tRNA from 1 species